CCAGCUCUUCCUGAAAGAAACUGGAGCCUUCCUCAUGCAGGAUACUGCAUGAAAGUUGCACGGAAAAUUGAUAUAUAUCUCCAGUGACUCACCUGUACCUUUGGAAAAGUCAGAAUGACAUGGAUGAGAUGACAUACAUACAUACGCACCUUUUAGUCACAGUUACGCCUGCUGUUGAAAUCUGUUCAUCCUUCAUUUUUGCUCUAUAGAGUCAUUUCCCUCCAUAGAGAAAGAGUGUACAAUCUUCAGAGCAGCAGGGGUGACUGUCCUCCUUCUGGGCUCCUUCCCACUCACCAGAGCAAUGUAUGGGCACCAGGACUGCCGAACACCUGCUCAAUAAUUGCAGAUAUUUCUGCCUUGACCAAUAUUCAAAAAGCCUCCUCAUUCAGGAUGAUACUCCUGGGAAUGAGCAGAAAUGCUGAAAUAUGGCCACAAACAAAAACAUACAAAG